rnacentral:SRP_RNA from 1 species
UCACACCAGUCGGGGCAGUAGCGGUGUCUUGUACCUGAAAUCCGCUGUAGCAGGGAUGGAUUCCGGUUUUGAGGGUUGCCUCUGUGCAGCAGUCAUGCCGAUAGUGUGUUGAGGUUCGGGCCUUACGCAAUUAUCCCUCACGAACCAUGUCAGGCGGGGAACCGAGCAGCAUUAAGUGAUACGGGUAAUGUGCCGUGAGCAAACCUGGACUGAGCAGUGUCGGUAAAGGACGUGUAUAGAGGUAUAUUCGAUUUUCCGGUGUGUGA